rnacentral:rRNA from 1 species
AUCCGCCGAUGUUCCUCCGAUGACUCGGCGGGGAGCUUUCCCCGGGAAACCAAAGCUUUUGGGUUCCGGGGGAAGUAUGGUUGCAAAGCUGAAACUUAAAGGAAUUGACGGAAGGGCACCACCAGGAGUGGAGUCUGCGGCUUAAUUUGACUCAACACGGGAAACCUCACCAGGCCCGGACAUUUGAAGGAUUGACAGAUCGAUAGCUCUUUCUCGAUUAAGUGGGUAGUGGUGCAUGGCCGUUCUUAGUUGGUGGACUGAUUUGUCUGGUUAAUUCCGAUAACGAACGAGACUCUAACCUAUUAACUAGGCGUUUCCGGUAUACAAAGCUACCGGCGAGAUUUAUUCUUCUUAAGGGGACAAACGGCUUUUAGCCGCCCGAGAAUGAGCAAUAACAGGUCUGUGAUGCCCCUAGAUGCUCUGGGCCGCACGCGCGCUACACUGAAGGAAUCAGCGUGUGCCCCCCUGGCCGAAAGGCCCGGGUAACCCGCUGAACCUCCUUCGUGCUAGGAAUUGGGGCUUGCAAUUGUUCCCCAUGAACGAGGAAUUCCCAGUAAGCGCGAGUCAUAAACUCGCGUUGAUUACGUCCCUGCCCUUUGUACACACCGCCCGUCGCUACUACCGAUUGAAUGAUUUAGUGAGGUCUUCGGACCGGCGAUAACCGGCACCGGUUUCAUAGCUGGUAUCGAUUUCGCUGGAAAGAUGACCGAACUUGAUCAUUUAGAGGAAGUAAAAGUCG